rnacentral:lncRNA from 1 species
ACUGCUUAGUUGAUCAGGUUCAAAACAAAGACUGCACCCUAGAACAAAGACUGCCUCAACCAUAUGUCAACAAGUACAGGACCCAGAAAGCAACUGUGCCCUCCACUUGAUACCUGAGCAUAGAGACUGACAUAGUUGAGACCUUGAUUUUGGGCUGCUUUAUCUUUGGGAUAGUCAUCUUCCUUUCUGAGCACCGGGGCACCUCUUUUUUUUUAAACAAAGAUUAUCAAUCGCUAUUUCAUCAGACGUAUGACUUAUCUUCAUAAAUAGGGAUAACAUGAGAAACACAGACAUAUGACAUGGUAGCUAAAUUUACUCCAGGAUGUUGAAUGAAGAGGUAAACCUGAAUCAACAAAUAAUUUUUAUCUACUAAAAUUUUUAUGUGGUUUCCUAAUUAACAAAAGGAUAUUGAUAUGAAAUUCACCCAGUAAUACAAUGAAGAGAGGUUGUUAAAGUGGGUAGAUUCAUUCAAUAGAAACUACCUUCUUCUAAUUAUUCUUGCUCCUCCUACUUCUAUAGAUACUAUUUAAAUUGCUACGAUCACAAAUCACCAUGAUCUACAUAAUUAUAGUUGUUAUUUCAUUUAUUGCUUGCAUCUUUUCAGUUCAAAAAUCUGCAGUAACUUUUAGGUCUGUGAGAAAAGUAAAGAUCCCAAUAUCCAAUGAAUUGUGUAGUCAACUGAAGUACAGAUGGACCAAUGGAAAGCAGAGUUGCAAUCAGAAGCAAGCAGAAUAGGCCCGAUCCAAGCAAUGCCACUAGAGUUGCAAUUGAUAUGAUUGGUCUUUUGUAAAUUCCCAGGUGGAUCAUAAUGAGAUGAAGAUGGAGUGCCCAAAAUUCAUCUCAGAAUGAAUCAGGAGACCAUUGUAAGAUCCCUUUUAUCACUUGGAUAAAAUUUUUUCUUUCUAAAUAAGAUGUCAAAACUGAGGUAUCAAUAUAACAAGGUUACCAACUAUGCAAACAGAGUUAGGGCCCAUUUAAGAGAGCUGUUGGCAGUAGAGCUUUUGAAAGUAGAGCUUUCUAAAGUAGAGUUUUUAUAAAAAUCUGUUUGCUGUUUGGUAAN